rnacentral:rRNA from 1 species
GACGAACGCUGGCGGCGUGCUUAACACAUGCAAGUCGAACGGAAAGGCCCUGCUUUUGUGGGGUGCUCGAGUGGCGAACGGGUGAGUAACACGUGAGUAACCUGCCCUUGACUUUGGGAUAACUUCAGGCAACUGGGGCUAAUACCGGAUCGGAGCUCCUGCUGCAUGGUGGGGGUUGGAAAGUUUCGGCGGUUGGGGAUGGACUCGCGGCUUAUCAGCUUGGUGGUGGGGUAGUGGCUUACCAAGGCUUUGACGGGUCGCCGGCCUGAGAGGGUGACCGGCCACAUUGGGACUGAGAUACGGCCCAGACUCCUACGGGAGGCAGCAGUGGGGAAUAUGGCACAAUGGGCGGAAGCCUGAUGCAGCAACGCCGCGUGCGGGAUGACGGCCUUCGGGUUGUAAACCGCUUUCGCCUGUGACGAAGCGUGAGUGACGGUAAUGGGUAAAGAAGCACCGGCUAACUACGUG